rnacentral:rRNA from 1 species
GUGAGACAGGUGCUGCAUGGCUGUCGUCAGCUCGUGUUGUGAAAUGUUGGGUUAAGUCCCGCAACGAGCGCAACCCUUAUCCUUUGUUGCCAGCGGUCCGGCCGGGAACUCAAAGGAGACUGCCAGUGAUAAACUGGAGGAAGGUGGGGAUGACGUCAAGUCAUCAUGGCCCUUACGACCAGGGCUACACACGUGCUACAAUGGCGCAUACAAAGAGAAGCGACCUCGCGAGAGCAAGCGGACCUCAUAAAGUGCGUCGUAGUCCGGAUUGGAGUCUGCAACUCGACUCCAUGAAGUCGGAAUCGCUAGUAAUCGUGGAUCAGAAUGCCACGGUGAAUACGUUCCCGGGCCUUGUACACACCGCCCGUCACACCAUGGGAGUGGGUUGCAAAAGAAGUAGGUAGCUUAACCUUCGGGAGGGCGCUUACCACUUUGUGAUUCAUGACUGGGGUGAAGUCGUAACAAGGUAACCGUAGGGGAACCUGCGGUUGGAUCACCUCCUUACCUGAAAGAA